UUCAAUUUUCCAACAAUAAGAACCCAAUUGAGAAAAAGAAAAAAUGAGGGACCUAAUUGAAAAAAAUCACCGAUAAUAGGAACUAUCAAAAUGAUUAAACCUAAUUUUUUAUACUUUUAAUUUAAAACCCUAAUUUCUUACCCUCACUUUGUAGAACACACCCACCCUCUCCUCUCUUCUCCUUCUCUUUUCCAUUUCCGUCAUCCAUUCUCACACCCACUUACCCCCCUCUUCUUCUUCUCUUUCCGAUUUCCGUCACUUACCCUCACACCCAACUUCCUCUCUCUUCUCCUUCUCUUUCCCAUUUUCGUUACCUAUCCUCACAGAUUUCUUUCUUCAGCUUCUUUUCCCCAUAUUUGUUCUGUCACCCACCCCCACAGACUUCUCUCUUUCUUAUUCCUUCUCCUUCCCAUUUUAGUUUCUCUCUUUUGUAGUCUCGUUUUGUCCUUUCUCUUUGGCCAUUGCUUUCAUUUUCUUUCCUUCCAUUGCUCGUGCCUUGAAGGACUUGUGCUUGGUUCGUGCUGUGGAAGGUGCUUCAUUCGCACUUGAUUUUCUUCAAUCCAAAUUAGUUUCUU
rnacentral:lncRNA from 1 species